rnacentral:lncRNA from 1 species
AUGGGUUUUUGUGGAAAUUUUGGGAAUUCUGAGGGUAAAAAUUCCACAUUUUCACUCUACGGUUUUUCCCUAAAUCCCUCAGGUCUCUGCCUUGGUUUUCCAGGGAAUUUUGGGAAUUCUGAGGGGACAAAUCCCAAAUUUCCAUCCCAAAUCUCCCCCUCACUCCUCUCCCCAACUAUUCCAUGGAAACCCAUGGAUUUUCCUGGGAAUUUUGGGAAUUCUGAGGGGACAAAUCCCAAAUUUCCACCCCACAGCUCUUCCCUAAUACCCCUCAUCCCCCUGCCAUGGUGUUCCAUGGCAAUCCAUGGAUUUUUCGUGGGAAUUUUGGGAAUUCUGAGGGAACAAAUCCCACAUUUCCACCCCAAAUCUCCCCCUCACUCCUCUCCCCAACUAUUCCAUGGAAACCCAUGGAUUUUUUCCUGGGAAUUUUGGGAAUCCAUGGAUUUUGUGGGAAUUUUGGGAAUUCUGAGGGAACAAUUCCCAAAUUUCCACCCCACACCUCUUCCCCUCAACCCCUCAUUCCCCUGCCAUGGUGUUCCAUGGCAAUCCAUGGAUUUUUCAUGGAAAUUUUGGGAAUUCUGAGGGGACAAAUCCCACAUUUCCACCCCACAGCUCUUCCCUAAAACCCUCAUGCGCCUUUCCUGCUUUUCCAGAGAAUUUUGGGAUUUCUGAGGGGACAAAUCCCACAUUUCCACCCCACACCUCUUCCCCUCAAUCCCUCAUCCCCCUGCCCUGCUAUUCCAUGGAAACCCAUGGAUUUUUUGGUGGGAAUUUUGGGAACCCUGUGGAUUUUUUGGUGGGAAUUUUGGGAAACCCGUGGAUAUUUUUUGUGGGAAUUUUGGGAAACCCAUGGAUUUUUGUGGGAAUUUUGGGAAUUCUGAGGGGACAAAUCCCAAAUUUCCACCCCAAAUCUCUCCCUCACUCCUCUCCCCAACUAUUCCAUGGAAAUCCAUGGGUUUUUGUGGGAAUUUUGGGAAUUCUGAGGGUAAAAAUCCCACAUUUUCACCCCACACCUCUUCCCUUCAAUCCCUCAUCCCCCUGCCCUGCUAUUCCAUGGAAACCCAUGGAUUUUUCCUGGGAAUUUUGAGAAACCCAUGGAUUUUUUUGGUGGGAAUUUUGGGAACCCUGUGGAUUUUUUGUGGGAAUCCAUG